ACAGACACACAUUUGUUAUCAGAAGCAUUUUACACAAAGUAAAUAAAAAUAAAAAAGGACGUCCAAACAGAUUUUAUCCAGAAAAGUGCUGAUUUCUCUGCAACAAUACCUGACCAAAAGUAUGUGGACAGCUGAAUGUUUGUUUUUUAAUGAUUAACAUAAGAUUGGCCCCAACGUGUCCACAUACUUUUGGAACUUCUACUUUCCUAAACCCUCUGAUUGAAUUUAUAAGCAGGCUGUAAAUUCACAGUGACUGUUUCAGUGUUGAAAGUAUGUGGACAGUUGAUAGGACACUCACGGCAAAGUGUGUCUAAAUACUUAUGGCCACAUGCUGUGUCACUAACAAUAAAAAAUAUGUGGACACCUGGAUAUUAAUGUUUAAUGUGGAACUGACCUCAAGGUGUCCACAGUUCUUCUUGUAUAAACCAGUUAAUGUGUUCAAAAGUAUGUGGACAGCUUGUGAUUAUUAUGAUGCUCAUUCAAAGGACGUCCAAAUAUUUUGGUCAUGUAUGAAAAUGUGCAGAUUUUUUUGAAAGAUAUCUGACUGCGAUAAAUGCACAACAUGGCCAAAGUAUGUGAACAUCUAUAUAGAAAAUUGAUCCCAAAGUGUCCACAUGCUUUUUGAACUGGAAAGAGUCGCAUAUUUCUUUCUUUGAUUCUUACAAAAGUAUGUGGACAGCUAACUAUGACAAUCAUAUGUGAUUGUCAUAGUUAGCUGUCCACAUACUUUUGGCAAAUUAGUGUUGUUUCUUGUGAGCCCACAUUAAAACCUGUAAAACUUUAUUUAAAAAACAAAAUCCUUUAUUAAUAAAUAUUUAAAUCUCUAACAUGAUCAAUAGAGUUGCUUUUGAUAGUACUUGGAAAGUUUCAGGAGUUCUUCAUGAUUCCUGGAGAAUCCUUGAGAAUGUAGCAGAAGUCUUUGAGGGACUUCUAGGUCCUUGAGAACAUACAAGUCUCUGAGGAGAUCAGCCAGUUUUCUGAAGCAACAAGUUGUUCUCAAGGACCACUGACAGCCUUCAGACAACUCUUCAAGGACAUCUGGAACACCUCAAUGACCAUCUGACCCCUCUCCAGGACCCUUGGGAUCUCUUCCAGGAUCUCCUAGUCUCUGUAAGGAGACAAGGAAUUUUCUCAACAACGUUUGAAUGCAUUUGAAGGUCCAGUGUAAGCACCUGGAGGAGCCCCAAACCUCCUCAAGGACCCCAGGAACAUCCUCAAGGAUGACUACGACCUGCUCAACAGCCAAUCAGAGAGCAGGAUUCUCUGUGUUCAUGAGGCCGGCUGACGGUCACAUGGGGUUCCUCUCCUCCGCUCACGUUUCGGCGGUCGUCUCCGUGGCAACAGACCUGGAAGCUGCUCCCUCUGCUAUUAUUUCUGUUUGUUUAGCUGAUGGAGGGAUGGGAGAGUCGCCGCAGCAACAGAGUCAGGGAGAAGGGCUGUUGCCACGGUAACAGCCAGAGAAGAAAGAACCGCCUGAUGAGACCAAAGAACUACAGACUCUUCACAACCUGCUCAAACUCUUGGUACAGGACCUCACCACACGGGUCAACAAGGUUUCCUUCUCAUUUCUACUCUGAAGCUCACCUUCUCCUGCUCAAACUGCUGACAAAUGUUUGUGCUGCUCUAAAGUCUGGUCUCCAGAACUUCCUAAAAACUCUCAAAGUCUCUUCUGCUGCAGGUUGCUUUGUAGAACUGUUCCAGAAAACCUCACUAAACCACAUGGAGGGGCCUCAAGACAGUCGUCCAAAUGAAACCGUACAAAAACCAAACUAGCACAACCCAAACGCUAAAGUCUCCUGCAGCCUACCAGAGAAGCUCUUUAAACAGAGAAUCAGGACAGGAACUCUUACCUUCUGGACAACCAACGUUGGUCCACAAACAACCAAAAACCAAAGACUCACUACAGCCAAGAUAAAGACACAACUCAGCUGCACCAAAUCCACUAAUCACUGCACACAUUAGCACCAUGUGCUAACUGUGGCUAAAGAACCACAUUUACCAAGACAACUAUCCAGUACAAAGCCCUAAA